rnacentral:rRNA from 1 species
CAGCCGCCGCGGGAACACGGAGGGAGCUAGCGUUGUUCGGAAUUACUGGGCGUAAAGCGCGCGUAGGCGGUUACUCAAGUCAGAGGUGAAAGCCCGGGGCUCAACCCCGGAACUGCCUUUGAAACUAGGUGACUAGAAUCUUGGAGAGGUCAGUGGAAUUCCGAGUGUAGAGGUGAAAUUCGUAGAUAUUCGGAAGAACACCAGUGGCGAAGGCGACUGACUGGACAAGUAUUGACGCUGAGGUGCGAAAGCGUGGGGAGCAAACAGGAUUAGAUACCCCUGUAGUCCCUGUCUCUUAUAA